UUUUUUCUUUUUUAACUGCGAACACCAUUGCACUUUGCAAGAGAGAAACCCAAACCCUAAACCCUAAACUCUAAACCUAUUUUCCCACCGAGAGAGAGAGUAAGAGCGAGAGAGUGAGAGCGAGAGCGAUGAUGGCGUGGUGCGCCGCGAGGUCGGCGGCGGCGGCGGCGGCGGCGGCGCCGGGGGCCGACCUGCGCGCGCUGCGCGCGCGCGCGCCCGUGGCGGCGGCGGGGCUCUGCUGUGUCUCCGUGGCCGGCUCCCUCCUCCGCUCCUCCUCCUCCUCGACCAAAUCCCACAACCCAUUCGCCUCCGUCAACGCUACCCUCUCCUCCUCCACCACCGCCUCCGCCACCGCCGCAGUAAAAGUAGAGAUAAGUGGCAGCAGCGGGAUGGCGAGGAGCGAACUCGGCGGAGCGAUCCGAUGGGAAGGUGCUCGGGCGGAACUCCGGCGGGUCAACGGGAUUAGGGCAUCAUCGGUGCACAUGGAGAUCGAGGUUGGAGGAGGAAAUCCGACAGAAUCUUGGAAUUGGGGCGAAGACGAGAACCUGCGGGUCGAAGGUUCCGCGACUCGGAUCGGAGGUAAAUGGCGAACCCAAGACCCGCCGGUUGCGGGUGAUGCGGAGAAGGCAGGAACCGACGCCCACUUACCGUUACGCAUGGAUCGGGCGAGCCGGAGCUCGGAUCGGGGCGAAAUGGGGAACCAAAGACCCGCAGGGUUGCGGGUAGUGCGGAGAAGGGCGGACCCGAGUCCGUUUGCCCGACAAUCAGCAGAGGGGAUCGGGAAAGCCCAGGAAAGGGCCCCACUAUCCGAAUUGGCAGCUCAACCAGUCCACUUCUUAUUUUAUCACUUUUGCUGUUUAGUCCUCGAAGAUUAAAUAAUUUUGUUUUCACUACGGGUACUAAGUAGUAUAAGUAUAUCAGAAUGUAAUGCAAGUUAGGGUCAUGAAUGGAAUAUUGAAUCUGCUUCUUCCCCAUUCCCCAAUUCUCCUUCUUCUCUAAACUCUCUUUCUCCAACUCUUAUCUCUUCUCUACUUCUAAUCCCCACUCCUAAUAUCUAUCUCAAACUUCUUAUCUCACUUUCUACUCUCUAUCUCUAUCUCUAUCUCUACUCGCCUCUCAGACCCAUCAUCCUUCCCGCCGUGCUCGUCUUGGCGAAUCUUAUCAUUGGCGGCUGCGAUUCGUUCGGAACAUUACAAAAAGGAAAGAAUUUGUAGGGUUUGUUCUCUUGUUACAGUGUUGCUUCGUUUUAACAAAGGUAUUGUGCAAUUGGUUUUCAACUAUUAUGAUUAGAUGUUUACAACGGCGUGGUGUAUCCGGCUUGUUAGAAAAAAUUAUUCUGCAAAAAGGAGAACAGAUAUGCGAAAUGUGACUAUUUAGAGCUUCUCUAGCUGUGUAAGUGGUUAACCAUUUUUCAUAAGGGAGAAUCAUGAACUAUCCGGUAUAUGAUUAAGCUAAUUGUAAGUAAAAUUCUUGAAAUCUUGAAUCAUUUUAGCUGUCGUAGUGUCGCCUGUUUCUGAUAAGUCAAUUUUUGUUUUCUCACAUUCCUAUGUGCACUGUUCGUUAUGUUGAAAUCUUGGCCAUUAAAUUUGAGGUUUAAAAAGAAAAAACAAUGCGAAGCAUUCAUUGAGUAUUCAGUGUUAGAAUUUUAUGAAAAAUAAUUAGCUCAAGCUUUGCAAUCCGAUGCCCUGUUUUUAGAUAAGAAGGAGGCUGUCCAGACAGAAAAGGCGCCUGCGGCGUUAGGCCCGUACUCGCAGGCUGUCAAAGCCAAUAACCUUGUUUUCGUCUCUGGUGUUCUGGGCCUUGUUCCCGAGACAAGAAAGUUUAUCUCUGACAGCAUUGAAGAGCAAACUGAGCAGGUAAGCAAGUUGAAUUUGAUUAAUCCGUAGAUUAUCAGUUUCAUUUCGUAGUUUUCUUGUUUUGCAAUUUGCUUUUGUCUUUUUAACAAGUAUUAGAAGCGAUACUGACCUAAUGAAAGUAUAGUAAACAUAGCGUGAGAUGUAAAAUUCCUAUGUUCAAUGUUUAUAUUGACGUUGCAUUCACUUUAAAGUGUCAAUCUGUUUGUUUUAAGACAAACUUUUUGAUAGUAAUGCGCAUACAGAAUGCCUGAUCAUAUGUGGUUAUGUACCUGAUCUGCAACAUGUGAAAGGCCUUUUAGGUUUAAGAUGCUUAUAUUAAUCUAUUAAAAGUGUAAUAAAAAUGGUCCUUUUUUUUGCAUUAACUUUGUGUAUAGACUGUAAGAAAUAACUGAACGGAUGAUAGUGAUGUUUUUUUUUCCCCUUGUAUAUGAUUUCGUGAAAUUUUUGGUGAGUUUGGUGUGAACGAUUCAAUGAUAGCAUAAUCAUUUGAAGCAUUUACUUAUUACUUGUAAUUUAAGAUGGCAAAGUUCUCAAGCAAACUUUUGGAGUAUCUUGUAAGAACUCCUAAAACCCUCCAAUGUGAGAUAUGUUUGGGCCUCAGGUUUUAACAAUUUUGGCCUGCAUGUGGCCCUAUUGAUUGACACCCAAAAGUUCCCCUGUUGAUCCAAGGCAGUGAUGUUAUUACAGAGUCAAUAGGUGUCUGAAUUGACUUUGAUUUAGCAUAGCUCUUCGUCAGGGUAUAGGUUGGAUGCUCUAGGUUGAGACUGGGCCAAUUGUUUCAAACCCUCCCCGCACCAAACUAGGGCGUGAUACUAGCCCAGCACAAUAUAGAUCGCCAAACUGAGCAGGUAGAUUUUUUGCUUAGUGCGCUUGCGGAGUUCGAUUGGUGCGUUCCUGCUUCGAGCAUCGCUAAAUUUGCUUGUUGUUCUGCAUCCUGCUACACCACCUGUACGUUCUCCUCUGUUCUUGCUUCCAGCUUUUCUACAAAGAUGUUGCAACUUCUAUUUCCUCUGCAUUCCUUUCUCUGCUGCUCUUCCACCACAUUUUAUACAUACAUGUGUAACCAUUUGCUGUUUACAUUAAUAAAAAAAAGAAGAAGAAACUUAAAAGAAUGCGCUAUUAAUUCGAAGUCGUAAAUUAGAGGCUACGAAUGCUAUAGUUAAAACUGCCAAAAAAUAAAGCUCCGUAAAUCGUCAGGAGAUGUAAUGCUUUUAUGUUGGUUGCUAUAAACCGAGAAACUAAUGCUAAUUAUGUUGGCAAAAAACGUUGUAAAGAAACGAAAAAAAAAAAAAAAA